UAAUAAUGUAAUUUCUUAAAAGCCCUACCCAAUGGGCAACAAAGAUCCCCAGAGCCUGGGUCCCGGCCCCAGCAGGGAGGGAUCACCCGCUCAUCUUUCAGCCCAGCCAAGCAUCUUGGAGGUUUAGGGUCUGUCAGUCCUGGCAUUCCUUCGCUCUUAUCACUCUCUACCCCUUCAAAAAGGCAAUUGAUUAGUUUCAGCUUUUCCAAACCGAGAUCCGAUACGUUUCUCAGGAUCAAAAGUCUCUGAGAGGCCAAGACAGAAACGUGGGGGAUGGGGAACGUAAAGAAGGAAAGCGCGCGAGGGGGGCGGUGUAGAAAUCUGCCAGCCACCCCAACCCUCUGCACCCAAGGCACUUAGGGGAUUGGGGGGCUGCUAGGAAGGGGUAAGAGUGUGACUUCUCCUGGAAGAGGCACUUAACGAUUUAAGACGUGUCUCCCCUUUCCGGAAGCAAAUAUUUAAAGGAGAAAAUAGAUAUCUAGAAAAGGAGGUUGAUGAUUUAUGCCUGGAUUUUCCUCCAAGCAUUUGCCUUCCUUGUAUUUACAGGCGUGGCCCCAUUUGCAAAUCGUACAUCUGUUCUCUUCACGUGACAUUUCAUAAAAGCCCUAACAUCUGGGCAAGAUAAACUUCCUUCAGGUACCUGCUUAGCUUUUCACUUGUCACACUCGCAUCAGCCCCGGUGGGUCCUUCCCGCCCUCCCGCAAGCCUCAGUGGCGGGGUCUGUGGCGCGCUUUGUUCCAGCCCCCGCGCUCUGGCCCCCAGCCUCCUGCGACCCCGCAUCGCCCCCCUCCCCACGCCAACCUCUGCCAGGGCCAGCUUCUUGGGCACACCCCGUCCUUACGUCUCCGCCUCGGGCUCCACUGUGCAGGUAAACGAGGGCACCAUCUUGAACCCAAGGAGAAAAGUCACAUUGCCUUCGGUUCAGGCUUCAGACCCAAAACAAAACAAAACAAAAACUGCCUAAUAAGCAAUAUUCAAACUUGCAAGCUUAGAGCGCACAGUCCCAUGUACAUCUAUAUAUUCCUCAGUGAACUGAAAAAAAAAAAAAGAGUGCUUGCUGUUGAUUCUGAUGGUUGUCUUUUCAUGGAACGUUCGCUCUAUCUGGUAGAUGUCUAAACUGCAUGUUUUACAGAAAUUUAAUUUCACUUGCUCGUCGUCAUCUCCAGUCCCCCAAAAAAGGCUGCCUUUGGGAUGGAUGUCUUUGGAAAUGUUUUUUUUUUUUCUUUUCCUAAUCUGGAAUUUUGUUCACGCGUAAGUACGAAGACACAUCCACAAACUUGGUGGUGGUGAUGGUGGGGGGUUGGGGGGGAGGAUGGAAGGAAAAGAAAACAGUCCACGUAAACAAGAAAGACAGCCGUUGGAGGCCUUCGCUGCAGCAAACCCCAAACGAUCUCAUUGCAGGGCGCCCACGAAAUCCCGGCUAUAAUUGAGUGUUUUCUUUGAGGUUUUCUGACCAUGUGCUUUUUUACCAUGGUUACUAUGACUCUGAUAUGAGAAGCUGGAUAUUCAUUAUGAUCCCGUCCCAUCCGUUCCCCCAAGGUUUAUCUCCCUGGCCCUUAUAAAGAAGGAGAAAUGUAAAGGGGGGGACUUUUGUGCCAGUGAUUUUAACCUGCCCCACCUUCCAGUGACCUGCCACAUGCUCCUUCUUACUUUAUAGACAUCUGGGAAUUCCAUACAUGCCUUAAACUCCAAUUACACACCUUCUUCAAAGGACACGUGCUUUGAUUUGCUAAGAACAUUAAGUGGGCUCACGUCCUGGGGCCUUGGGACAAAAGCAAAUGGCAAAUGUAUCCCGUGCCCUGUUUACCGGGUCUAUCGUUUGCUGUUCAGCAAAUGAGGAUAAUUAAUAAUCCUGUUUGCAUUUCCGAGGUCUCGGUUUCGAGGUUUCCUGGGAAAAGAGUGGUAUAGCCGGCUUUGAGAAAUUAUGAGGUAACGGAUUUCUCCUUCCACUUUGCCGGUGCACUUUCCUUCCACUUUCGCUGGUCCUGGGGGUGGGGCACGCUUUAUGACACACAGGCAGAAAAUUCUGGAAAAGUGGCCCCCGGGGAUCCCCCGCCCGACCCCCGUUUGUCGCUAAUAGAGGCCCGUCUCUGGAAAUUUGAGGUUGGGCCUUUGCCUGACUCUGUUGCUGCUGCUCCUUCUGCUACCGCUGACACUUGGAACCGCCGCCUCUGCGCAGCGGCCAGACGCGGCCCGGAGCGGUCCACGCAGUCGGAGAAGGGCACGGACACUGUCACUCUCCCCACCGUGUGGCACCGGCCCGCCACCCACGCAGGGGAGUCUGGGCCGGCGCCCCCCUCCCGGGCCCGCCGCAGAUGCAGGGAAAACCGCCUGACAUCAUGAGAGCGGGACAAACGCUCACUUUGAAGGAUUCCUGGGCAGGACUUCAAGUGAAAUCAUAUGCCUGAGAAGAACUUGAUACCGGUCUAGAGAAAAUAACCAGUUCUGAGUUUGCCAAACCGUGGAAUGUGCAAAAUGCUCGACUUUUUUGCAAGAGGCCAAGUGUCCCUUAAAAAGCUCUAUUAUGAAUAUGAGCCUGAAGACUGAAGCAGCAGAAAGCUUGUGCCGUUGUUGAGUGUGGGAAAAAAGUACACACAGUAUCUGCCUCCUCAAAAUAUAAGCAAGAGAAGUGAGUAACAAAUUUCCUAAGUUUUUGCUUGUUUGGGGGGCCUGAUAAGAGAUGAAGGAGAGAUGCUACAAAGUCCACUGAACACCAAACUGGAAUAAUAAUAAUAAAGCUG